CUAUAUUGGUAGAAAUGCCUGUAUAUUACAGAUAUUUUUAAUGUCUCUCUUUUGAACUACUCAGUGUAUUUGUUUCAUUUGAAUAAAAGAAAAUUCUUUUUUUUUCUUUUUCUAGAACAAUGCCGCAGAAGAGGUUGAAGAGAACUCUGAUAAGAAAAGUGUUCAAUUUGUAUUUAAGCAAACAGUGAACCGACAUUUGCAAUCAACUAAAAAUUCGUCUUUCGAAUUAGGGCUGAAAAUUACUGUUAAAGAGUGUUGCAGUAUGUCUGGUGACUCCCUUUUCAGGACUAGGGUUUUCUCAUGGAGUACAGUAUGUUAAUAUUUACCUAUAUAACUAAUCUGUUAACGGUUUUUGAAAAACCUCUAUUUCAAAUUUGAAUAUAAUCUUCAUAUUUUCAUCUAACCUAUAUGACUCUAAUUUUUUUUCUGAGGAAAGCAUUUGGUUUUUGAGUUGUUUUUUCUUAAUAUAAGAAAAAUUGUAUUUUUUUUAAGAGUAUCUUCAAACUGAAUCCUUUAUGCACCAAAGUUGGUUUUGAAAAGGAAAAUAAAAUCACUUUCUUGCUUGGUUAGCAAGAAGCCAUAUGGAAUUUUUUUUAACUUACAGAAAUGGAAAUAUGUGUAACUUGUUAGUAUUGUAUCAAACAAAUGUUGCAUAGAGAUAAUAGAACAUUGCUUGUAAAUAAUUCAGCAGAUUUGUAAUAUAUUUUUAUAUUAUGAAAUGUACUGUAGAUGUUUUUCUAGAGGCAUGAAAGUUAAAAAUGUAUAUAUUAUGGUAGAAAUAAUAUUGAAGGAUAUUGUAAUUCACUAGUGCUGCCAGAGGAAUUGUUAAUAAAGCACCUUCUUUAACAAUAAAUGUCUUUUGCAGACUUAAGGGACUAUGUACUACUGUUAAUAUCUAUAAGAACAAAACACAUUGAACAUCCUUCCAGAAAGUCUUUGAGGGAGGACCUAUACCCAUAAUAGAAUUAUGGCACUCAUUUCUGACAGUGACCGUGAAAUCAAUUUCCUUACUGUAGGAAGAACAUAUUGUAAAGUAUGUGGUUAUAUGCAGUCAAACUGCAAAAAAUACUCCUGAUUGAGGAGUUUUCACUUUACUACAGUGAUAUAAAAACCAGCAGUUUUUACAAAAAUUUUUUAAAGAAAGAAUAGACAAAAAUAUAGAUUAAACCUUUGGUUCCAAAAUGGGAAAGGUUCCAUGAUACAUAAAUCAUUUCUCGUUUGCUUUAAAAAUAAAAAUAAAAAUAGUAAAAAUUAUGGGAGACUUUAUUCGUUAACAGUGGGAUAAAGAGCUAUAUACAUGAAAUGAGUCAUAUAAAAUUAAAUGAAGUGCAAAUAAAAGCACUGCUACUAGAAGACAUUCUGGAAAGGUUGUUUAAUAAGGGUAUUAUCCAUACGAUCUGUAGCAAAUGUGAUUUUUAUUUUUAAAAGGAAAAAAGCAGUGUGUUUUCUAUUUUUUUUGUUUUUCUUUGCUUAAGCACUUCAUCAAUUGCUUUAUUCUGUAUCUUUGAAGUAAUCUGCAAUCUUUUUUGUUCUUUUAAAAUUUUGAUUUGUUAAAAAAUUGCCAAAUAGAAAUGUUUCAGAUAUAUAGUUUGUACUUGUAUUUUUAUUUUAUUGCCUCAUGUUCUUGUAAGUCAUUCUUAAUUGACCGAUGAUUGUAGACCUUGCUUGAGUAUUUUUUCUAAUAAAACAAAGCAAAUCACAUUUAGCUUCAAAUUGUAGCAAUUCAAUUAAAUUUUAAAAAUAACAUUUAAAAAUAUCCAUUCAAUACUUUCUUUAGGGGCACAGUAAUAAAUUAGUUUUUUUCAUUGUGUAGAAAUAGAUAUCAAAAUCAAAUUUCUUAGUUAUUGAUUAGCUUCUGUGUACUCAAUUUUUGCUGCUUAUCUGACACUAAUAUUAGCACACCAAAAAGAACGUGGAGUUAAAAAUGAGUUUUGUAACUUGUAUGUGUACAUAUAUGCACACACAUUCAAUUGUGACUGGAAAAUAAGUAAAAAUUUUAAUCUGUAACAUAUAUUUAUUAAUGUUUAGUCAUCUAAAUUGUAUUUAUAAUAUGAUUCCUGAAAUAAUCAAUCUCACUCAAAAUCCAUGUGUAGUUUAGUUUGGGCAAAUUACAAUCUACAGACGUGACAUUUUAUUUACAUGUUGUUUGUAAAUACUUUCUUCCUGUAGUGGUAGAGUUGAAUAUUGAGAUCAGUAGGACCUACCAGCCUGUAAUAUGUACUGUCUGGUCCUUUAAGAAAAAGUUUGCUAAUCACUUUCUAGUUGAUACGUCUUUUUUUUUUUUUUUUU